CCUACGGGUGGCAGCAGUGGGGAAUAUUGGGCAAUGGGCGCAAGCCUGACCCAGCAACGCCGCGUGAAGGAAGAAGGCUUUCGGGUUGUAAACUUCUUUUCUGAGGGACGAAGAAAGUGACGGUACCUCAGGAAUCAGCCCCGGCUAACUACGUGCCAGCAGCCGCGGUAAUACGUCGGUGGCAAGCGUUCUCCGGAUUUAUUGGGUUUAACGGGUGCGCAGGCGGAAGAUCAAGUCAGCGGUAAAAUUGAGAGGCUCAACCUCUUCGAGCCGUUGAAACUGGUUGUCUUGAGUGAGCGAGAAGGAGGCGGAAGGCGUGGGGGAGAGGUGAAAUGCAGAGAUAUCACGCAGAACUCCGAGUGCGAAGGCAGCAUACCGGCGCUCAACUGACGCUCAUGCACGAAAGUGUGGGUAUCGAACAGGAGUAGAUACCCCUGUAGGC
rnacentral:rRNA from 1 species